AUCACAAAUAAUCAGAUUCGACGGAGAAACAAGAAAUUAUAAAGGACUGCACACAAAAACUAAAGUGUCCCAUCAUUCUACGACUGCUUUCAACUUUUUCUUGCUUUUGCUUUUCUUCUUCUUCUUUUUAUUGC
rnacentral:ribozyme from 16 species